rnacentral:rRNA from 1 species
AUUGAACGCUGGCGGCAGGCUUAACACAUGCAAGUCGAGCGGAGAUGAGGUGCUUGCACCUUAUCUUAGCGGCGGACGGGUGAGUAAUGCUUAGGAAUCUGCCUAUUAGUGGGGGACAACAUUCCGAAAGGAAUGCUAAUACCGCAUACGUCCUACGGGAGAAAGCAGGGGAUCUUCGGACCUUGCGCUAAUAGAUGAGCCUAAGUCGGAUUAGCUAGUUGGUGGGGUAAAGGCCUACCAAGGCGACGAUCUGUAGCGGGUCGGAGAGGAUGAUCCGCCACACUGGGACUGAGACACGGCCCAGACUCCUACGGGAGGCAGCAGUGGGGAAUAUUGGACAAUGGGGGAAACCCUGAUCCAGCCAUGCCGCGUGUGUGAAGAAGGCCUUAUGGUUGUAAAGCACUUUAAGCGAGGAGGAGGCUACUGAGACUAAUACUCUUGGAUAGUGGACGUUACUCGCAGAAUAAGCACGGGCUAACUCUGUGCCAGCCGCCGCAGUAAGAC